AAAUGGGGAAAGCAUGUAUUAGUGUCGGAGACACUCUGGAAAUGGAAAAGCCCCAGGGUAGAAACACUACAAAAUUCUGCCUGCCGGAGAGUAAUGGGAAGGCUGCUGCAGCAAGAACCUGUCAGAUGCAAGAGAGGUCACUUGCCUAGGAGGACCACUCUGCCCUAACUUGUCCCUGCUCUCUGGAAAAUGGGCCCAUGUCAAGGCUUUAGGAUGAUUCCUUACUGCCUUCCAACCCUGCAGAGAUGGUCUCGGCCUGGGCCCUGCAUCCACCCUGAGAUACCAUCCCUACCUCACCGCUCCUGCUCUGCUCUCCUGGGCCCCUGAAGCACAGCAAGAUGAAGACCGCAAUCACCUCGUGACUGAUGGCCAAGGCAGCACACAGAAGAGCCUCCGUGCAUUUCUGUCCAAACUGAGGAAGUUAAAGAAGUCCAGAUUCCCUCACUUAACGGGGACAUCGGUCCCCUUGCUGGGCACUGGCCCUGAAUCUUUGCUCAUCCAGACUCACCCUGUCUGCAGAAAGUGGACUCCCGCGUGCUCAGUCCAGAAGGGGAGCACAGGCCCAGGCCCGCUCCCUCAGGAGGAGGCGUGUGCGUCAGGAG
ensembl:lncRNA